GAAAUGCGAUAAGUAAUGUGAAUUGCAGAAUUCAGUGAAUCAUCGAAUCUUUGAACGCACAUUGCGCCCGCCAGUAUUCUGGCUGGCAUGCCUGUUCGAGCGUCAUUACAACCCUCAGGCCCCCGGGCCUGGCGUUGGGGAUCGGCGGAAGCCCCCUGCGGGCACAACGCCGUCCCCCAAAUACAGUGGCGGUCCCGCCGCAGCUUCCAUUGCGUAGUAGCUAACACCUCGCAACUGGAGAGCGGCGCGGCCACGCCGUAAAACACCCAACUUCUGAAUGUUGACCUCGAAUCAGGUAGGAAUACCCGCUGAACUUAAGC
rnacentral:misc_RNA from 1 species